GAUGAACGCUGGCGGCGUGCUUAACACAUGCAAGUCGAACGGAAAGGCCCAAGCUUGCUUGGGUACUCGAGUGGCGAACGGGUGAGUAACACGUGGGUGAUCUGCCCUGCACUUCGGGAUAAGCCUGGGAAACUGGGUCUAAUACCGGAUAGGACGAUGGUUUGGAUGCCAUUGUGGAAAGUUUUUUCGGUGUGGGAUGAGCUCGCGGCCUAUCAGCUUGUUGGUGGGGUAAUGGCCUACCAAGGCGUCGACGGGUAGCCGGCCUGAGAGGGUGUACGGCCGCAUUGGAACUGAGAGACGGCCCAGACUCCUACGGGAGGCAGCAGUGGGGAAUAUUGGACAAUGGGCGCAAGCCUGAGGCAGCGACGCCGCGUGGGGGAUGACGGCCUUCGGGUUGUAAACUCCUUUCGCUAGGGACGAAGCGUUUUUGUGACGGUACCUGGAGAAGAAGCACCGGCUAACUACGUG
rnacentral:rRNA from 1 species